CCUACGGGUGGCAGCAGUGGGGAAUAUUGCACAAUGGGGGAAACCCUGAUGCAGCGACGCCGCGUGAGUGAAGAAGUAAUUCGUUAUGUAAAGCUCUAUCAGCAGGGAAGAAAAUGACGGUACCUGAGUAAGAAGCCCCGGCUAACUACGUGCCAGCAGCCGCGGUAAGACGUAGGGGGCAAGCGUUAUCCGGAUUUACUGGGUGUAAAGGGGGCGUAGACGGCAGUGCAAGUCUGGAGUGAAAGGCGGGGGCUCAACCCCCGGACUGCUCUGGAAACUGUACGGCUGGAGUGCAGGAGAGGUAAGUGGAAUUCCUAGUGUAGCGGUGAAAUGCGUAGAUAUUAGGAGGAACACCAGUGGCGAAGGCGGCUUACUGGACUGUAACUGACGUUGAGGCUCGAAAGCGUGGGGAGCAAACAGGAUUAGAUACCCGUGUAGUC
rnacentral:rRNA from 1 species